GAUACCUCACUGCUGACCCAUAGAUGCCCUAUAGCUGCCCCAUAGCUGCCCUCUAGCGACCCCAUAGCCACCCCAUAGAUACCCCAUAACCACCCCAUAGCUGCCCCGUAGCUGCCCCAUGGCCGCCCCAUGGCUGCCCCGUAGCUGCCCCAUAGACGCCCCAUAGAGACCUCACUGCUGCCCUAUAGCUGCCACAUGGCUGCCCCAUAGACACCCCAUAACUGACACAUAGCUGCCCCACAGCCGCCCCAUAGCCGCCCCACUGCUGCCCCAUAGCUUCCCCACAGCUGCCCCAUAGCCACCCCAUAGCCGCCAUAUAGCUGCCCCACAGAUACCUCACUGCUGCCACAUGGCUGCCCCAUAGAUACCCCAUAACUGCCCCAUAGCUGCCCAACUGCUGCCCCAUAGCUGCCCCAUAACUUCCCUAUAGAUGCCCCAUUGCUGCCCCAUAGCUGUCCCAUAGACACCGCACUGCUGCCCCAUAGCCGCCCCAUAACCACCCCAUAGUUGCGCCAUAGAUAUCUCAUAAUUCCUAUUAAUCUCCCAUAAUCCCCCAUAAUCACUCUUAAUCCUCCAUAAUUCCUCUUUAAUCCCCCAUAAUCCCUAUUAAUCCCCAUAAUCCCGCAUUAAUCCCCUAUUAUCCCUCAUUAAUCCCCCAUAAUCCCUCAUUAUCUCCCAUAAUCCCUCAUUAAUCCCCCAUAAUUCCUUUUAAUCCCCUCAUAAUCCCCCAUAAUCCCUUAUUAAUGCUCAAUAAUCCCUCAUAA